GACGAACGCUGGCGGCGUGCUUAACACAUGCAAGUCGAACGGAAAGGCCCUGCUUUUGUGGGGUGCUCGAGUGGCGAACGGGUGAGUAACACGUGAGUAACCUGCCCUUGACUUUGGGAUAAUUCCAGCAAAUAGGGCAUAUAACCGGAAGGAGCUCCCGGUGGAUGGCGGGGGCUGGAAAGAUUCGGGGGGUGGGGAUGGGAGCGCGGAUUAUCUGCUUGUUGGUGGGGUAGUGGCGUACCAAGGCUUUGACGGGUAGCCGGCCUGAGAGGGUGACCGGCCACAUUGGGACUGAGAGACGGCCCAGACUCCUACGGGAGGCAGCAGUGGGGAAUAUUGCACAGUGGGCGGGAGCCUGAUGCAGCAACGCCGCGUGCGGGAUGACGGCCUUCGGGUUGUAAACCGCUUUCGCCUGUGACGAAGCGUGAGUGACGGUAAUGGGUAAAGAAGCACCGGCUAACUACGUG
rnacentral:rRNA from 1 species